CCCUCGGGACGCAGCAGUGAGGAAUAUUGGUCCAUGGACGCAAGUCUGCACCCCCCCUGCCGCGUGCAGGAUGACGGCUCUAUGAGUUGUAAACUGCUUUUGUACGAGGGUAAACCCCGAUACGUGUAUCGGGUUGAAAGUAUCGUACGAAUAAGGAUCGGCUAACUCCGCGCCAGCAGCCGCGGUAAUACGGAGGAUCCGAGCGUUAUCCGGAUUUAUUGGGUUUAAGGGG
rnacentral:rRNA from 1 species